rnacentral:rRNA from 1 species
AUUGAACGCUGGCGGCAUGCUUUACACAUGCAAGUCGAACGGUAACAGGCCGCAAGGUGCUGACGAGUGGCGAACGGGUGAGUAAUGCAUCGGAACGUGCCCAGUCGUGGGGGAUAACGCAGCGAAAGCUGUGCUAAUACCGCAUACGAUCUAUGGAUGAAAGCGGGGGACCGUAAGGCCUCGCGCGAUUGGAGCGGCCGAUGUCAGAUUAGGUAGUUGGUGGGGUAAAGGCCUACCAAGCCGACGAUCUGUAGCUGGUCUGAGAGGACGACCAGCCACACUGGGACUGAGACACGGCCCAGACUCCUACGGGAGGCAGCAGUGGGGAAUUUUGGACAAUGGGCGCAAGCCUGAUCCAGCAAUGCCGCGUGCAGGAAGAAGGCCUUCGGGUUGUAAACUGCUUUUGUACGGAACGAAACGGUCUGGGUUAAUACCCUGGGCUAAUGCCGGUACCGUAAGAAUAAGCACCGGCUAACUACGUGCCAGCAGCCGCAGUAAUAC